CUGCAACUCUCUCUCUCUCUCUCUCUCUCUCUCUCUCUCUCUCUCUCUCUCCCCCUCUGCUCUUCUGUGUGUGUCUGGUGUGAGUUGACUGUUGGGUAUGUACAUUUGCAGAGAGAGAGAGAGAGAGAGAGAGAGAGAGAGAGAGAGAGAGAGAGAGAGAGAGA
rnacentral:miRNA from 1 species